rnacentral:rRNA from 1 species
UACAGAGACUGCAAGCGUUAUUCGGAUUCACUGGGCGUAAAGCGUGCGCAGGCGGUUAUGUAAGACAGAUGUGAAAUGCCCGGGCUUAACCUGGGAACUGCAUUUGUGACUGCAUGGCUAGAGUUUGGCAGAGGGGGGUAGAAUUCCACGUGUAGCAGUGAAAUGCGUAGAUAUGUGGAGGAACGCCGAUGGCGAAGGCAGCCCCCUGGGUCAAGACUGACGCUCAUGCACGAAAGCGUGGGGAGCAAACAGG